rnacentral:lncRNA from 1 species
GAUUUUCAAGGAGCAAUGAGAUAAAACUGCUGAGUUUCAGACCUAUUUCCGGCUUUGUAUUUCAACGAUAAAAAUGAGAAGAGAGAAGGAGAUAAUCUGCCAGAAGAUGCUACUGAGGUAGGAGACCCAGACUAGGAAGAAAAUGUAAGGAGUAAUUAGAUGGGGAUGUGUUGCUCAUGUAUGAGAAAGCAGUUACUUCUUAGCUCCCUCUGUGAUCAGUACAGAUAUAACUAAAUGGUCCAGGCAUUUGUUCCAGUUGAUACUGAAUGGGCUUUGCAAAUCCUUCAUAACAUAACCAUGGCAUUUACUGCCAAAGCAUAUAUAUAUUAUGAGAAAUCUAAAGAGAGAGAUGACCAAUUAUUAUGUUGAUGAGCAGCUAGAUACUGACUCUACGUAGCAUCCUCUUUACCCUUCCUUCAAAACAUUACUUUUUCAGGAUAGUAACUUAAUGAUUGUUCCUGUUUUAUGCUAGGCACUCUGUUAAGAGUUUUAUACAGACAUUGUUGUAUUCCACAUUCACUACAGCCUUAAAGAGAAUAGUGUUAUUAUUUCCAUUUUUCAGUUUGGUCUCAGAGAGGUAAACAAUUUGAACAGAAAGUUGCAGAAUUAAGAAUCAAACUCAAAUGCAAGACCCCCAAAAUUAUGUUCUUAGCCUCAAUAAUGGAUUACCCAGUCUCUUGGGUUUAAGUGCCUGGAGAAUUAGUAUCUCUCUAGAAUCUAUAUUCAGUUCUAGUGUCAUUUUUCUAGUUCAUCUUACUUAUUAACUACAUAAUCCUUGAAGCAAAGCAUAAGCAGAUGGUGAAAUGUUGUUACUUUCUUCUAGGUAUGUCUUUGUUUUAAAAAGUUUAUCUCAUUCUCUAGACUACCUAGUCGUAAAAUUUAGGUGGCUAAGUUCAUUCAAAUAACAUGUAUCAAUGAGAGAUAAAAUAUUAUAAUACUGGUUGCUUAACAUGACAAGACUCCUUACAAAGGUAGAUGUUCAUGCAUCUACUAUCCAUUCCUUAACAUUUUCUAGAAAAUAAAAUAGCUGAAACAUUUAAAAUGAGAUAAUAUAAAUUAUAAAUAAAAGGAAUAAAAAAUUUCUUCAGAAUUUCUAAUAUCAAGUCAUUACAGAUUUUUAAUUAAAGUUAGUACCUCUAAACUAUUGCUGUUAGUGGCUAUACAUAAUUGUGCAAAACUUAUGUCUCUUUUCAAAUGAUAAAUUAGGUGUAAUUAAAAUAGUUAUUAAAGAAUAGAGACAUGACAGUGAAAAGUUACUGGGAGUCUCAUAGAGCCACAUAUUUUGUAUAUUCAAAUAAUACAGAUUUUGGGGGUCAAUGACUACAUAAAAACAAAUUAAUAAAUGACCUUUCUGACCUCAAUUUCGUAAUCUUUAAGAGCCAGAGAUAUAAAUAUCCAAUUGAGACUUUGAAGUGUGAGAAGGUCAACGGAGAGAAAAUGAGCAGUGCUUAAGACAAAGCUAAUAUGAUUUAUUAGAGUGUUCAAACUUUACUCUUUGUUCAUGGGGGUCUUCCAGAUUCAGACCAGGAUAGUAUAUACCAUUGAUAUUUGAAAUAUAAAGUCAAGAGUAGAUUUUAAAAGUAGUGUUUAAAAGUGGUUGUUUUUCUCUUAUUCCGGUUUUCUCUUUUUGAAAUUGUAUUGUUAUAAAUUGCAUUUCAACUCAAAUGUUUUAAAAUUUGCAUUGUUGCAUCUACAGAUCUUUUAUGUUGAAGUAAAUUCAUAAGGUUCAUAUAUCCUCAGCUAAGAAAUCUGCAAAACAAUAAGAAGCCCCAAAGGGUUCAAGAAGCCUAAUAAAUAGGGAAAAAUACAUUUAUCUUGAUUUUCUUUUUUUUUCCUCUAAUGCUUCCUUUAGAAAUAUGUUGGAAAGAAAAUUAUUCCUUUGGGCAAAGUUUGUCCCUAGGUUUUAUUGUCUUCCUCAUAUAUACAGUAAAGUGAUUAAUAUUUAUAGGAACCUGGUUUUUAUUUUUAACCCUGGUUUCCCUCAAUCACAGUUUCCACUUAUUAUCAGUAUAUCGAUAUAUUGGAAUUCAGUCUUGUAUUUUAUACUCUGAUACUCUUCCAUGUGUUUCCAUAUUAUAAAACUCCCUGUCUGAGGACUGCUCACUGGAGCUCAAUUUAGAAUUUAGCUGAUGUUCAAAAAGUUAACACCAUUACCAAGGCAAAACCAAAUGAGUAUCAUACUGGAAAAGGUAGGAGAAGCUCUUGGAUUUAGAAUCUCUGAGAUCUUUUUAGCGCAUGCAGCGGGAGAAUAUGAGUGGAAAAGAGAUAAUUAGUAUAGUGUAUUCUGCAGCUGGUGUGGAAAGUGUUUGCCAAGAGUAAAGUAUCCCUCAAUUCAAUAAUGCUACUACAAGUCUAUUUGUAUGAGUAUCUUUUUAAAGUUUUGGUACAUUUUCAAUAAGAAUUAAAACAUGUGGGUUAUUAUUUCAUGUAAUAUGUUUUGAUAGGGUAUUAAGAUACUUCAUUUCAAGCAUUUAGUAACACAUUAAUUACCAUUUUGAACAUCAUAAGUGUAUGAAUGUGUUUAUGUGUAUAUUAGAUACAAAUAUGGUUAAUUAUGUAAGGUGUGUAUGAACAUAUGCAAAGUUCUUUUAUCAGCCGUUCCUAUCUUCAUACCAUAGAGAACAGAAACUGACAUUAAGGAAUUUUCUCCAAAUUAAGUCAUGUUACUUAUUGCUUAUAUUUUCCCAAAUGCUUUGCAACCUGAAAAGAUUUAAGGAUGAAAGAAAAAAUAUUCAUCAAAAAUAUGGCAGUGCUUUUAGAGUCAGCUAUGGUUCCAACAUGGCAUGAACCAGAUUUGUCCAAAUAUCUUGAAUCAUUAUUAUAUUUUGAUGGUGUGUUUAUGUGAGGGGGUAUUUUUUCAUAUCUUUUCUUAGGUGACAUGAAUAUUUAUUGUAAACUUGUAAUAAGUUCAGAUGAAGCAGGAGAGAUAAAUAUUUCUUUUCAUGAUAUCUUAGGCCAGAAUUAAGAAUAUAAUUGAUUAAAUACAUGAUCAAACAUCCAUAAGCAAAUUAAAUUCUAACUACCUUUGUACUCUAUACUUUAUUCCAACAGCUUUAUAAUAUGUAUCUCAUAUUGUGGGAACUUUCUAUUAAUGAGGCAUGCAUCUAAUUGUUGACUAGUCAUUAUCAAUAAUAUUUUGACAGAUAAGCUCCUUUCCUUCCUUCCUUCAGACUCUUAUCCCUCUCUCCUUCCAUUCUCCUUUCUUUCUGUUUAAAUAAAAAGGGCUCAUAAAUUUUUUGUGUGUGAUAUUUUUGUUUGUUUAUAACUUAUCUUUCAUAUACAUUCUUGAAUUUUCCACAGAAAAUACAUUUGCUUUAUAUAUAAAGACAUAUAUCAAAUUUAGAUAUAAUUGAAUAUUUGUUUAGCAAAGAUCUUUUGUAAUUUUUGCAUAUCAAAAGAUAUUGCUUACAUAUUUCAAACUGAGGUUGUUAAAAGUUACUGUUUAUGAAACUGUUAUCACUGAUACCAUCUGGAUAAUGCUUAGAAAUAUAGAGUCUGAGCACAUACAUCAGUUAAGACUAUUUUCUCAUUCCAGGAGGUUGUAAUGAAACUCUAUGUGGAAAUGAGUCUAUAUAAGGAAAGGAUGUUCUUCUAAAUCUAAAGGGGGACAACAGAAGGCAAGUGAAGUGACCAGAAGUUUUAUGGGAUAUGAGAUGAGGAACAGCUAAUAAAAUUAUACCUGCAUGACUCUGCAGGAGAGAAGGGUCAAGAAACUUAAAUGUUAAAUUACCAAAGGAAAUAUUUCAAAGAAAAUUACAGUCUUAAAUGGAAUCAGCCCUUCUUAUAAUUUAGACCUAGAAGCUUGGUGUUUUAAACCCAGAACUGAUGACUGUACUUGUGAAAGUCAGUUUUCAGACAGGAUAAGAUAGCAAUCUGGAUCUCUGGGCUUGAAUGAAAUAUCCUUUGGGUAACAAUUUAAGGAAGAGCUUAAGAAAAUGAGAAAAUAAGAAUCAAAUCUACUGUUACCCACCACCUUAAACAUCUAACAUAACUAGUUGAAUUUUUAUCUCAUGUCAUUCUGGUCCUUGGAAUAAUGCUGCAGUCUCCAUCUCCCAGUACCAGAGAACAGAAUUUCACAAGCUCUUGGGAAUUGUGCGGUUAGAUGGACUAUACUCAGGGUGAUUUUUCAACGGUCUCUGAAAUGGCAUCUCCAUUUUUUCUCUCUUCUCUCUGAGGUAAAAAGAACCACAAUUUCUAUUUUUUUUCCCAAAACACAUUGUCUUUACUUCCAAAAUGUAUAUCCAUAGUCAAAUAAUUUUCUCACAAUGUGUAAGAGCUUGGUUCCCAUUACUUAAUUACUUACUCCCAUAGAUAAGAGUUAGUUGAAUAUUCUGAUAAUUAUAAAUAGAGUCAAGGGCAAAAAAGUCAAGAGAUGGUAUAGCACCCCUGUGAAGAGUACGAAAGUUGAAAAGUCGAGUUUUCUAUCCUGACUUUAAAAUGCAUUAGCUAUGUAACCAUGGAUAGUUUAUUUAACCCUUCUAUGCCUCUCUUCCUCAUCUGUGAUAGAUGGAAGAGCAGUAGUACUCACAUAAAAUCACUGUGGUAAUUAAUUGUGUUACAUGUAUAAAGCACUUUGAAGGUUCCUAUCACAUAGUAUCACUAUAAAAGAUCUUGGUUCUCUUGAUAUUUCAAUUAACCUAUGCAGACUUUGAACACAUUCAUGUAUGAUUUCCAUAAACUUUUAUUUUCUAUAGCUAUUAGAUCUUUUUGAAAAAGAAAAAGAAGAUUACAUGGAUAUAAGAGGUGUCAUAUCAGAAAUCACUAUAAGAGCAUGUACAUUGCUGGAUGGGAGGUUCUAUAAUUGCAUUCAUUUCCAUAUUCUUAUUCUGUAUUACAUGGGACCUAAUAAAUCUGUUGAUGAAUUUGUAUUUUCAUGAUAUUUUUGAGGUAGACAUUAGGUUCAUGAGUUCAUUGUAGAAGAUUCAUGAUGAAAUUUCUUUAUAAAGUUUUAUAAUCUACAGCGUUUUAGUUAGACAUUUAACUUGAUCGUUUGGACUGGUCACCUUGUAGCAACUUGCAUAACUUGUAGUUAACACUGAUUUGCCAUAUUUCCUAAAAGUAGCAGAAAGAGGAAUUGGCCACAAAAUAGAGCUUGAGGAAAGGAUUUAUUUAAUGAAACAAUAGAGAAAUAGUUAUGAACAGAAACUGGGGGGAAAUAAAGGGCACAGAAUAAGCUAAGCUUACACCAUGAGAAUACUUCAUUAGCUUUUCAUCUUUGAUUUAUACCAUGUAUUUGCAAAGUCCUCUAUAAAUUCAAAGUGUAACAUAAAUGAAAGAUUUAUUUAUUUGAUUUUUUACUUGUAGUAUUUUCAUGAUCCAUGUCCCCAGUCUGGCUAUAUCUGUACAAAUGGAAUUAUUAAGACAGGUUUCCAGGUUUUAGCUGCAUUGGCUGAAUAUUUUCUUUCCCAAGGAUGAGAAUAGCAGCACUAUGAGGUUCAAUCUAAUAGCAUUCAGUACACUGAGCCCAUUCUUGAUCAUAAUCAAGCAUUCAGGCUUGUGACAAAGGUUGGCAAAGACCAAUCAGCUGGAACAGAUAGCAUUGUGUACAGUUGGAUCAUGGCAUGGUAUCUAAGGACACAUCAACCAGAACUGAUUAUGUCAAAACAAAAUUCUCUAAGUGAGAGCUAUGGAGUCAGCACUUCCUAAAACAUAAACGGCUUAAAAUGUGCCUGUGUAAGGACUCUAAGGCUUCCCUUAAAUGCUGAAGGGUGACAUUGAAAUGUCUGGUGGCUUCGUUAGACUCUGUGUGUUGAACACAUGAAUAACUCCAUCUCUUUUGUCAGAUCUAGGCAUAUUUCUUCUUAAUAUUUUCUUAAUACCACAUUUCUUUUGAGAUGCUUCAACAAGUUUGUUAACAAGCCUGUGCUCUGCUGUCACAAAACUACUGAGGAAUUUCAUAGGUCAGUUAUUAUGUUCAUGUUAAGUAUAAGGGAAGUAAGGCAUUUAAGGAAUAUGAGGGUGAGGUAGGGGGAAGCAACUCAUUUAUGCAGUGGAAAAUUUCUUAUAUAGUAUGACUCUAAUCUCUUUAUGUUCUGUCAUAAUCACAUACUCUCUGUCACCAGCAUCUUUAAGUGUGCACACAGAAAUAUCAUGCCAUGUUGUUUAUAUUAGUUACAUAAUUUUGUGAUUAAUCCAAAGCAUUUCUCUACUUCAGUCUUUUUGGGAGGAGGACAAUAAAACUACAGAAAAAUCUUGCAUUCAAGAAAGUAUCUCUUGUGUCUCUAUCAAAAUUAAAGAAUUCUCAGAAUAUUUUGAAACAAGGCAUGCUUUUCAUAUCAUAAAGAGAAUUUCCAUUUUACUACUGCUUCUUAUGUCAGUGCACAAUAAUAUCCACAUAGAGGGUGCUUCAUUUCCAGUAGAGUACCAUGGGUUGCAAGUGGGGAAUGAACAGUAUUUUAAAUAAUUAGUUUAAUUUUGUAUGUGUAUUACAGUGGUAAAUUCUAUGAAAUUAUGCAUUUUUAAUGUAAAAGCGUUCUACAGUUGAAUGUAUAUUGAAAUAAUAUAUUUAAAAUAGAUCAAUCUUCUUACCUAUUUACUUUGCUGUACACCUAAAACUAACACGACUUUGUAAGUCAACUAUGCUCCAAUAAAGUUUAUUUUUAAAAAAGUACAAGCAAAAGCAAAAAGAAUUCAGUAUCACCAAAGCAGCUUUACAACUACUAAAGAAACUUCUCUAGGUGGAAAAGAAAAGGCCACAACUAGAAACAAGAAAAUUACAAAUGGGAAAGCUCAAUGGUAAAGGUAAAUAUAAAAUAAACGCAGGAAAUCACUCAUUAACAAACACGAUAUCAAAACUAGCAAGUGUGAGAGGAGGAGAGUAUAAGUGCAAAAUAUUGAAAAUGAAAAUGCAUUUGAAAUUAAGGUAACAGUGACCAAAAACAAUUUUGUUAUACAUAGAUCGCUAUAUCAAAAUUCAGUGGGAAUUGCAACCAAAAAACUAUAAUAAACACAUUCAUGGAAACGAAACAUGUACAUGAAAAACCAAAGAUCAACUUCAGACCUAAGGACACCUCAGACUGAAAGUGAGGAGAUGGAAGAAGGUAUUACAUUCAAAGAG